GGGAAAAACGCUUUCAUUGAUAACGUAUCGAUGCAUCUAUUAGCGCUUGCAUCACUACCUACGAUGAUCUGCCUCCGUGUUCUUGCAAGGUGUGCCGAUAAUGAUGGGCGUGCCGGUUAUUAUAAUCCACAACCAGUGUAGUACCUGUGAGGGUGACUAAGUACGGUGAAAAGAAAAGUUUGGUAGUUUUUCGGCAUGCUUCGAUGGAUCUGUUACGUUUGUUUCGGCUCGGUCUCUCCCUGCCGACUGCAGUGAGAAUACCUGUCUUUUACCUCAGAAAAACACAACAUGGCUUUAACAAGAAA
rnacentral:lncRNA from 1 species